rnacentral:lncRNA from 1 species
CUGUCGCUGGUACUAUCUGUCUGUCUCUGUCCCACUGUCGCUGGUACUAUCUGUCUGUCUCUGUCCCACUGUCGCUGGUACUAUCUGUCUGUCUCUGUCCCACUGUCGCUGGUACUCUCUGUCUGUCUCUGUCUCACUGUCGCAGGUUACAUCUGUCUGUUUCUAUACCACUGUCGCUGGUUCUAUCUGUCUGUCUCAAUCGCUCUGUUGCUGGUUCUGUCUGUCUGUCUCUAUCCCACUGUCACUGGUUCUGUCUGUCCGUAUCUAUCCCACAGUCGCUGGUUCUAUCUGUCUGUCUCUAUCCCACUUUAGCUCGUUCUGUCUGUCUCUAUCCCACUGUCACUGGUUCUGUCUGUCCGUAUCUAUCCCACAGUCGCUGGUUCUAUCUGUCCGUCUCUAUCCCACUGUCACUGGUCCUAUCUGUCUGUCUCUAUCCCACUGUCACUGGUUCUAUCUGUCUGUCUCUAUCCCACUGUCACUUGUUCUGUCUGUCCGUCUCUAUCCCACUGUCACUGGUUCUAUCUGUCUGUCUCUAUCCCACUGUCACUGGUUCUAUCCGUCUGUCUCUAUCCCACUGUCCCUGGUCCUAUCUGUCUGUCUCUAUCCCACUGUCACUUGUUCUGUCUGUCCGUCUCUAUCCCACUUUAGCUGGUUCUAUCCAUCUGUUACUGGUUAUUUCUGUCUGUCUCUAUCCCACUGUCGCUGGUUCUGGGUGUCCGUAUCUAUCCCACAGUCGCUGGUUCUAUCUGUCUGUCUCUAUCCCACUUUAGCUCGUUCUGUCUGUCUGUCUGUCUCUAUUCUACUGUCGCUUGAUCUAUCUGUCUGUCUCAAUCCCACUGUCGCUGGUUAUUUCUGUCUGUCUCUAUCCCACUGUAGCUCCUUCUAUCUGUCUGUCUCUAUCCCACUUUAGCUUGUUCUGUCUGUCUGUCU